GUCCACACCGUAAACGAUGAUUACUAGAUUUUGGCCUUAUGGUCAGAGUCCAAGCGAAAGUGUUUAGUAAUCCACCUGGGGAGUACGUCCGCAAGGAUGAAACUCAAAGGAAUUGACGGGGGCCCGCACAAGCGGUGGAGCAUGUGGUUUAAUUCGAUGAUACGCGAGGAACCUUACCUGGGCUUGAAAGUUAGUGACCGAUCCUGAAAGGGAUUCUCCCGCAAGGGCACGAAACUAGGUGCUGCAUGGCUGUCGU
rnacentral:rRNA from 1 species